AGAGUUUGAUCCUGGCUCAGGAUGAACGCUAGCGACAGGCCUAACACAUGCAAGUCGAGGGGCAGCGGAGAGGUAGCAAUACCUUUGCCGGCGACCGGCGCACGGGUGAGUAACACGUAUGCAAUCCACCUGUAACAGGGGGAUAACCCGGAGAAAUCCGGACUAAUACCCCAUAAUAUGGGCGCUCCGCAUGGAGAGCCCAUUAAAGAGAGCAAUUUUGGUUACAGACGAGCAUGCGCUCCAUUAGCCAGUUGGCGGGGUAACGGCCCACCAAGGCGACGAUGGAUAGGGGUUCUGAGAGGAAGGUCCCCCACAUUGGAACUGAGACACGGUCCAAACUCCUACGGGAGGCAGCAGUGAGGAAUAUUGGUCAAUGGUCGGCAGACUGAACCAGCCAAGUCGCGUGAGGGAAGACGGCCCUACGGGUUGUAAACCUCUUUUGUCGGAGAGUAAAGUACGCUACGCGUAGCGUAUUGCAAGUAUCCGAAGAAAAAGCAUCGGCUAACUCCGUGCCAGCAGCCGCGGUAAUACGGAGGAUGCGAGCGUUAUCCGGAUUUAUUGGGUUUAAAGGGUGCGUAGGCGGCACGCCAAGUCAGCGGUGAAAUUUCCGGGCUCAACCCGGAGUGUGCCGUUGAAACUGGCGAGCUAGAGUGCACAAGAGGCAGGCGGAAUGCGUGGUGUAGCGGUGAAAUGCAUAGAUAUCACGCAGAACCCCGAUUGCGAAGGCAGCCUGCUAGGGUGCGACAGACGCUGAGGCACGAAAGCGUGGGUAUCGAACAGGAUUAGAUACCCUGGUAGUCCACGCAGUAAACGAUGAAUACUAACUGUUUGCGAUACAAUGUAAGCGGUACAGCGAAAGCGUUAAGUAUUCCACCUGGGGAGUACGCCGGCAACGGUGAAACUCAAAGGAAUUGACGGGGGCCC
rnacentral:rRNA from 1 species